rnacentral:rRNA from 1 species
GAUGAACGCUGGCGGCGUGCCUAAUACAUGCAAGUCGAGCGAACGGACGAGAAGCUUGCUUCUCUGAUGUUAGCGGCGGACGGGUGAGUAACACGUGGAUAACCUACCUAUAAGACUGGGAUAACUUCGGGAAACCGGAGCUAAUACCGGAUAAUAUUUUGAACCGCAUGGUUCAAAAGUGAAAGACGGUCUUGCUGUCACUUAUAGAUGGAUCCGCGCUGCAUUAGCUAGUUGGUAAGGUAACGGCUUACCAAGGCAACGAUGCAUAGCCGACCUGAGAGGGUGAUCGGCCACACUGGAACUGAGACACGGUCCAGACUCCUACGGGAGGCAGCAGUAGGGAAUCUUACGCAAUGGGCGAAAGCCUGACGGAGCAACGCCGCGUGAGUGAUGAAGGUCUUCGGAUCGUAAAACUCUGUUAUUAGGGAAGAACAUAUGUGUAAGUAACUGUGCACAUCUUGACGGUACCUAAUCAGAAAGCCAUGGCUAACUACGUG